rnacentral:piRNA from 1 species
GAGAAAUCAGAAGGCAGGGAAACCAAGAGU